CCGGCAUAAGAGCCUUGGAAUUAAAUAAACUAAAAAUAUGGAUUACUAUGUAUAAAUAUAUUGCACAGGCAUGUCCUGAUAGUCCCAUUUCAUGCUUUAACCAUGUGCAUGAGAAGAUCUGCUUGCAAAGUCAAAAACAACAGGCGCAUAAAGAGAUGACUCUGAUUGGUUUAGCAUGUUAUGCCCAAAGCACGCCCCAAAAAAACAGUCACACACCCUGUAGGACUAAAACCCCUCCUCCCUCCAAAAAUAUUGAGGUAUUGGAUGUUUUUCAUCGUGCAUAAACAGAUUUUGCUGGACAAAAAUCAGUCAAUCAUUUUUGAAAAAACUAUUUCGAUUAUAUUGUUCAUCUGAUUUUAUCUAAGGAAUGCACCACUUGGACAAUCUCAGGCUGAAAGUACAGGAAACGGAAAGUAGUGACCUUGGUGAUUUCAACUUGUGAGCAAUAACAGUCGAGAGGUGUUUCCUGAAAGCUCUGGAGGCCGGCCGUUUGACACUGACAGAAGAUUUACACAUGAACUGACAAGCUGACAUCGCAUUCAUCUUCAGCUCUCUUGGCACCAACAGUAAAUGGAUGAAGUGUCUCUGUUAUAGCAAACCGCCUGCCUGCUCCUGCUGAAGGAAUAUUGACAUUUGAUUGAUGCUAUAAAGAAUAGAUCUUCAAGCAUGAACAACAACUCUUCGAGAAUGAACAACACCACUGGAUUACCAGAGGACACCACUAGAUUACCAAAUGACUUUAGAAUUGCUCUUCUGGUUUUGUACACAUUCAUCUUUCUUGCUGGAACUUUGAAUGUUUUACUGAUGUCCUGCAUGCUACGGGUCCAAAGUCGUCUUUCUUUCACCAAAGUAUCUGUGAUCAACUUAAUAGCAGUCCACGCAUUUUUCCUUCUUACGGUGCCUUUUCGAAUUUACUAUUACACUGCAGGCACCUGGGUUCUGGGCAUAGAUUUCUGCAAAAUCGUCAGUCUUAUGAUCCAUGCCCACAUGUAUCUUGCGUUCAUCUUCUAUGUUAUCCUUCUUAUCGUGCGUUUUCUAGAGAACUGUGAGCAACAGCACACUCUUGAGUUUCACCGCCUUCUUCAUGCUUUCAUUGCAAGCGCAACAAUCUGGUUGAUCACAUUCGGCUCUGUGUUUCCAGCAACUUUAGCAAACUAUGGCACCUUGCAGAAUGAUUCGACUCACUGCUUUCAUUUCAAUAAGGAAAUCAAGAUUCCUGCUGUGAAGAUACUGAACUAUAUUAUUUGCAUACUAGUGAUUCUGAUUUGGUGUGUGCUGGCAUUAUUCCAGGUUUAUUUUCUGCUCUUUGUGAAUAAGACAUUUGGAAAGUCCAUAUACCAGCGUCAAGAGUUCUGGGCACAGAUCAAGAAUGUCGUUUUUCUUUCGGUUAUGUUUUUUUGUUUUGUGCCCUAUCAAGGGUUUAGGGUUUAUUUUAUAAGUAAUUUUGAUACAAAAAUAAAUAAUAUAAACGAAGUAUUUCUUGCUGUCACUGCUUUUAGUUGCUUCGAUAUGAUUGUGUUUGCUGGAAGAGAUAUUUGCAAACUUAUCAAUUCUAAAAGGUAGUUUUCAAUUCAUGUAGCAUAGCAUCUGUGUUGACUUCAUGUGGUUUCUAUAUUGUUACUGAACUUGCGUGAACUGAAAUCUUUGUUUUGGAAUGUUUUGUAUUAUGGGUUGGCUGUUGAUUAUUUGAUUUAUAAUGACAUUUGUAUUAAAUCUAAAUUAUAUGUUUACAAGGCAUGGACACAGUUUUUAUAUUUGUAUGGUGGUCAAGUCUGUGGGACCUGUUUUAAUUUUUUUUCAAUAAAAAUGGUACAGUCAUUAUUUU